rnacentral:rRNA from 1 species
UGCGUAGGCGGGUCUUUAAGUCAGGGGUGAAAUCCUGGAGCUCAACUCCAGAACUGCCUUUGAUACUGAAGAUCUUGAGUUCGGGAGAGGUGAGUGGAACUGCGAGUGUAGAGGUGAAAUUCGUAGAUAUUCGCAAGAACACCAGUGGCGAAGGCGGCUCACUGGCCCGAUACUGACGCUGAGGCACGAAAGCGUGGGGAGCAAACAGGAUUAGAUACCCUGGUAGUCCACGCCGUAAACCGAUGAAUGCCAGCCGUUAGUGGGUUUACUCACUAGUGGCGCAGCUAACGCUUUAAGCAUUCCGCCUGGGGAGUACGGUCGCAAGAUUAAA